AAUAUUGGACAAUGGGCGCAAGCCUGAUCCAGCAAUGCCGCGUGAGUGAAGAAGGCCCUAGGGUUGUCCAGCUCUUUCGCCCGCGCCGAUGAUGACGGUCGCGGGAGAAGAAGCCCCGGCUAACUCCCUGCCAGCAGCCGCGGUAAUACGGAGGGGGCUAGCGUUGUUCGGAAUUACUGGGCGUAAAGGGCGCGUAGGCGGCCCGCCAAGUCCGGCGUGAAAGUCCUGGGCUCAACCCGGGGACGGCGCUGGAGACUGGCGGGCUGGAGUCCGGGAGAGGGUGGCGGAAUUCCCAGUGUAGAGGUGAAAUUCGUAGAUAUUGGGAAGAACACCGGUGGCGAAGGCGGCCACCUGGCCCGGGACUGACGCUGAGGCGCGAAAGCGUGGGGAGCAAACAGG
rnacentral:rRNA from 1 species